rnacentral:lncRNA from 1 species
CAAAUUUCUUCUCAACAGCCAAACAAAUCCUUAAAUGGAAUACUCACCUACGAUUAAUCCAAAAGAAAGAGAAAGCUCUACUUCGGUUUCCAGAAACCUUCAAAAUAUUGCACCUUUGAUGAACAAAGAUGAAGAAAUAGCUCAACUUUGGCUUCGUUGAAGGUUUUCGGAAAAUGCAGAUGGAUUAGGGCAAAAUGAGGUUUUCGGAAAAUGCAGAUGGGUUAGGGCAAAAUGAGAGGAAGUGACAAGUUUUCCCAAAUUUCUAACUUUGUCGGGUCGGCUGGAUUUUGCAAAUUUGAUA